rnacentral:rRNA from 1 species
CAGUCGCCGCGGUAAUGCGAAGGGGGCUAGCGUUGCUCGGAAUCACUGGGCGUAAAGGGUGCGUAGGCGGGUCUUUAAGUCAGGGGUGAAAUCCUGGAGCUCAACUCCAGAACUGCCUUUGAUACUGAAGAUCUUGAGUUCGGGAGAGGUGAGUGGAACUGCGAGUGUAGAGGUGAAAUUCGUAGAUAUUCGCAAGAACACCAGUGGCGAAGGCGGCUCACUGGCCCGAUACUGACGCUGAGGCACGAAAGCGUGGGGAGCAAACAGGAUUAGAUACCCGCGUAGUCCCUGUCUCUUAUAC